CGAUCGCGCCCUCCCAGCGCCGGGGACGCGGCGCUCGCGCUCCCGCCGGAGUCCGGGUAAGCGGAGACGCGGAGGCGUCGCUACCCCCUCCUCUCGGCUGCGCCGGGCCCUGCGCCCGCAGCAUGCCCGCCGCGGAGCCCGGCGCCGCCCUCCUCUCGGAGCUCGCGGAGGCCACGCCGUUGCCGGUGUCGGGGCCGCGGCUGCGAGGGUAGCGGGGCCGGAGCCGGGCAUCAAGGCGCCGCAGGCAGGCAGGCGGAGCGGGGUGGGGUGGGGGGAGGAGCAGGCAUCCUCCGCGGUUGCUUCCCGGCGCGCCCAUGGCCCUGGAGCCCGGAGAAUGCGAGCUGCACUUCGAGCCGGCUGCUGCCUCCACUUGCGCCCAGCGCUCAGCGCCCCCCAGAGACGCUCGCGUCGUCGCCGCCCCCCAGCUGCAGGCGCCCGGGCCCUGGCUGCGCUAGGACCCUCGGCCGUUGGCCACCGGGGCGAAGUGGCCAGGGAGGAGCCGGAGCCUAAGGGCCCGGGAGCCCGGCGCUGGCGGGGGUGCGGCGCGGCAUGCGGCUGCGGGAGCCAGCGUGAAGGUGUCGGCCUGGGGCCCCGCCAUGGCUGGCAAGGACAGUGGCAACCUGAAGACGGUGAGACUAUGGCGGGAUGCCGCCUUGCGCGCCAGGAAGCUGCGGAGCAACCUGCGCCAGCUGACCCUCAGCGCAGCUGGGGGCUGCCCCGAGGCCGGAACCGACCCCCUGGAGUCCCCCGACGCCCCCCAGCUGGUGCUGCCGGCCAACAUCGGAGACAUUGAGGUGCUGAACCUGGGGAACAACGGCUUGGAGGAGGUGCCAGACGGGCUAGGGUCGGCACUGGGGAGCCUGCGCGUCCUCAUCCUGCGCAGGAACCGCUUCGCCCGGCUGCCCCCUGCGGUGGCCGAGCUGGGCCACCACCUUACCGAGCUGGACCUGAGUCACAAUCGGAUGACCGCUCUGGGUGCGGAGGUUGUGAAUGCCCUAAGGGAGCUGCGCAAACUCAACCUUAGCCACAACCAGCUGCCCUGUCUGCCUGCCCAGCUGGGCUCCCUGACCCUCCUGGAGGAGCUGGAUGUCAGCUUCAAUCGGCUGACCCACCUGCCCGACUCCCUCUCCUGCCUCUGCCGCCUGCGCACCCUCGACGUGGACCACAACCAGCUCACUGCCUUUCCCCGGCAGCUGCUGCAGCUGCCGGCCCUGGAGGAGUUGGACGUGUCCAGCAACCGGCUGCGAGGCCUACCUGAGGAUAUCAGUGCCCUCCGUGCCCUCAAGAUUCUCUGGCUGAGUGGGGCUGAGCUGGGCACCCUGCCUAAUGGCUUCUGCGAGCUGGCCAGUUUGGAGAGCCUCAUGCUAGACAACAACGGGCUGCAGGCUCUGCCUGAACAGUUCAGCCUCCUUCAACGACUCAAAAUGCUUAAUCUCUCUUCCAAUCUCUUUGAGGAGUUCCCUGAUGCGCUGCUGCCCCUGGCUGGUCUGGAGGAGCUCUACCUUAGUCGAAACCAGCUCACCUCGGUGCCAUCCCUUAUCUCCGGGCUGGGUCGGCUUCUAACCCUGUGGCUGGAUAAUAACCGGAUCCGCUACCUGCCAGACUCCAUUGUGGAGCUAACUGGGCUGGAGGAGCUGGUGCUGCAGGGGAACCAGAUCGCUGUGCUGCCUGACAACUUUGGCCAGCUCUCCCGGGUGGGCCUGUGGAAGAUCAAGGACAAUCCACUGAUCCAGCCCCCCUACGAGGUCUGCAUGAAGGGGAUCCCCUACAUUGCAGCCUACCAGAAGGAGCUGGCUCAUUCGCAGCCUGCGGUUCAGCCCCGCCUCAAACUGCUGCUCAUGGGCCACAAGGCUUCAGGAAAGACCUUGCUCAGGCACUGCCUAACCGAGGACAGAGUGGGGGGAAGCCAAGGAGGAGGUGACAAGGAGAAGAGUUACCCACCUUCCCCUCCCCCUGGAAGCAAGGGCAUCGAGGUGACCAGCUGGACUGCAGAUGCUUCCAGGGGCCUGCGGUUCAUCGUGUAUGACUUAGCUGGUGAUGAAAGCUAUGAAGUGAUCCAGCCCUUCUUCCUCUCCCCAGGUGCCCUGUAUGUGCUGGUAGUUAACCUGGCCACCUAUGAACCGUGCUGCUUUCCCACCACUGUGGGCUCCUUCUUGCACCGGGUGGGGGCGCGGGUGCCUCAUGCUGUGGUGUGCAUUGUGGGCACACAUGCUGACUUGUGUGCUGAGCGGGAGUUGGAAGAGAAGUGUCUGGACAUUCACCGCCAGAUUGCCCUACAGGAGAAGCACGAUGCAGAGGGCCUGAGCCAUCUAGCCCAGGUGGUGGACGAGGCCCUGGCUCGGGAUUUUGAACUGCGCUCUGCCAGCCCUCAUGCAGCCUACUAUGGUGUUUCUGACAAGAACCUUCGGCGGCGUAAAGCUCAUUUUCAAUACCUGCUUAACCACCGGCUGCAGAUCCUCUCACCUGUGUUGCCUGUUAGCUGCUGGGACCCCCGCCUAUUGCAACGUCUUCGGGACAAGCUGCUCUCAGUAGCUGAACACCGAGAGAUCUUCCCCAACUUACAUAGAGUCCUGCCUCGAUCCUGGCAGGUGCUGGAAGAGCUUCAUUUCCAGCCACCCCAAGCACAGCGACUUUGGCUAAGCUGGUGGGACUCAGCGCGUCUGGGCUUGCAGGCUGGUCUGACUGAGGACCGACUGCAGAGUGCCCUUUCCUAUUUGCAUGAGAGUGGCAAGCUGCUGUACUUUGAGGACAGCCCAGCCCUCAAGGAGCACGUCUUCCACAACCUCACCCGCCUCAUCGACAUCCUCAAUGUUUUUUUCCAGAGAGAUGCUUCCUUGCUGCUGCAUAAACUGCUCCUGGGGACCAGUGGAGAGAGUGAGGCUGAGGGGGAAAGCUUCCCUGCUAUGGCACUGCCUGCCCCGAACCAGGAUGUGCUCCGGGCCACCCAGCUGCAUCACUAUGUGGAGGGCUUUCUGCUGCAUGGGCUCCUGCCAGCUCACAUCAUUCGGUUGCUGCUUAAGCCUCAUGUCCAGGCCCAACAGGACUUGCAACUGCUGCUGGAGCUGCUAGAGAAGAUGGGACUCUGCUACUGCCUCAAUAAACCCAAGGGCAAGCCACUGAAUGGCUCAACAGCUUGGUACAAGUUUCCAUGCUAUGUGCAGAAUGAGGUACCCCAUGCAGAGGCCUGGAUUAAUGGGACCAACCUAGCUGGCCAGUCUUUUGUGGCUGAGCAGUUGCAGAUUGAAUAUAGUUUCCCCUUUACCUUUCCACCUGGGUUGUUUGCGCGCUACAGUGUCCAGAUCAACAGCCAUGUGGUGCACAGGUCAGAUGGAAAAUUUCAGAUCUUUGCAUAUAGAGGGAAAGUUCCUGUGGUGGUGAGUUACAGACCGGCCAAGGGCGUCUUGCAGCCAGAUACCCUGUCUAUUGCCAGCCACGCAUCAUUACCAAAUAUAUGGACCGCAUGGCAAGCCAUCACCCCCUUGGUAGAGGAACUGAAUGUCCUGCUUCAGGAAUGGCCUGGACUGCACUACACUGUGCACAUCCUCUGUUCUAAGUGCCUUAAGAGAGGAUCGCCCAAUCCACACGCUUUCCCAGGGGAGUUGCUGAGCCAGCCGAGACCAGAAGGAGUGGCAGAGAUCAUUUGCCCCAAGAACGGCAGUGAGAGAGUGAAUGUGGCCUUGGUUUAUCCACCUACGCCAACUGUGAUCAGCCCCUGUUCCAAGUAUCUUCAUACUUUCUUGGAAAAUUAAGUGGAAAAGAUAGUGCUUCUUUCCCUUAUACCAUCAUUUUUACUGUACCAAUCUGUGACUAUAGGAGCACCAGUGUUUAAGGGAAGAAUGUUGGUGAAAAGCACAGACACCAGUGACUUUUCUGGCUGUGGGAUUUCCGUGAAGAAAGCUGAGCAGUGGGACCCACCAUGCCCAUCCUCUGUUCGCGGCACACCCUCCGAGUCCCGAGCAUGCGCGGUGCAACUGGUGACGAUGCACCCGGGGUCCUCUGAGCUGGCCUGGAGGGGCACGGGAAGGAUGGGAGAGAACAUGGAGCAAACAUUUCACAAACUGAACCUCAGAACUAAGAUCCUCUAAGGAAAGCGCUACUUGAAGAAGAGUCGAAUGGCUUCUCAGGGAUUUUGUUUUCUGUGCACAUAUAAGCCAUAGUUACAGUACAGGUGGCAGUAUUUAGAGCACUUCGGUUUCAGUUCUGUUCAAUGUGAAAGAGGGAUCGACCGACGUUCAUUGCUGUUCCGUAACUAGUGUAAGAUAUGUAUAUGUUUAUCUUUAUUUUUAUAAUACGCAAAUACCUUUAAAUUUAUACAGUUUGAAGCUUCUAGCAUCAUUUAACACUGGGUGCAAUAUUUUGCAUGAGAACUGUGCCAAGAUGGGGCUGAUUUCUUAUUUGAGCAUAAGACAUUUUCUUUAUUCUUUAACAAUGCCUUUUCAGUUUAGAAAGAAAAAGUGAAAUAUCAGCCUGUGGAUUGAAUGUUGAUUCGCAGAGGCAGUGAGCCAGCCAAUGCUGAGCAGGAUACUUCUACGUGUGCUUCAGCCCCAUCUGUCCACUGUCGCCCUGCCUGUAAGUUAGUGGACUGAGGGCAGGAUUGCUCCUGUUUUAUCCCCACUUAUCAUUAGUGCAGGGCAGAGACGGAGCACUCUGGGGGCCAAAGAGGACGGAGAGUCCAUGAAAAACCCAAUCUUUCAGUAACGUAGAUCAUCAAGAGUCAGUUCUGAAUCAAGCUAGGGGCUCUGCAAAUACACAUCGUGCUUUUCUAUAACAGGGUCCAAAGUGAGCAGAGUGCUUCGUGGACCCGCUACAUCUGGCUGUGGGAUGUUGGCUUAGAAAGGCACCCACUUGGGGAGCCCACCCCGCACUGGCCAUUCAUACAGAACCUCUUAGUAUACAAUUUAGCAUCAAGAACUGGGAAAACCCUUGUUCUGAAAUCUUUAGGAGGUAA